rnacentral:lncRNA from 1 species
GGCUGGGUUCACUCUUAGCCUCUCACUCCUCGCUGUCCUUUCUCGCUCUGUGAGGUCGCUUCGCGCUCGUUGCUGCUCCUCGCGGAGCUCCUCAGCACGAGACGAGGGCCGAGCGGCCGCUGCGGAGCUCAGGAGAGGAGCGCCGAGGGAGGCACAGCGGAGCGGCUCCUGGGCCUCGUUGUGCGGGCACUGAGCUGCGGGGGAAGAAGGGCAGUGAUGAGUAGCAGCCCAGCAAAGCAGAGCAGGUUGCAGAGGGAGCUGUGCCCAGCCUUGGCUGCAGGAUGGAAAUGAAGGACCAAAGUCCUCUCUGGAUCCUCAGGAUUAAAUUCUCAGCAGGACCUCCCUAUGCUGUUGUGCUAAGGAGCACAUUCAGAUGAGUCUCACCUGUGGUGCAGAGGUUGGAAAGCAGCCUGAGAUCAGUGCUGAGGUGUGGGAAGAACUUUGGGAUGGGUUACCUGGGGGAAGAGGCCAACCCCUGUCUUUCUUGAAGAAAGAUAGCACUCUUGAUUGGAAUAAAGCCUUGAGUGUUGGGCGAAAUCACUGUGGGCCCAUGCAAUGCAGGCUAGUAGCUAUUUAG